CUUGCUUCUCUUGAGAGCGGCGGACGGGUGAGUAAUGCCUAGGAAUCUGCCUGGUAGUGGGGGAUAACGUUCGGAAACGGACGCUAAUACCGCAUACGUCCUACGGGAGAAAGCAGGGGACCUUCGGGCCUUGCGCUAUCAGAUGAGCCUAGGUCGGAUUAGCUAGUUGGUGGGGUAAUGGCUCACCAAGGCGACGAUCCGUAACUGGUCUGAGAGGAUGAUCAGUCACACUGGAACUGAGACACGGUCCAGACUCCUACGGGAGGCAGCAGUGGGGAAUAUUGGACAAUGGGCGAAAGCCUGAUCCAGCCAUGCCGCGUGUGUGAAGAAGGUCUUCGGAUUGUAAAGCACUUUAAGUUGGGAGGAAGGGUUGUAGAUUAAUACUCUGCAAUUUUGACGUUACCGACAGAAUAAGCACCGGCUAACUCUGUGCCAGCAGCCGCGGUAAUACAGAGGGUGCAAGCGUUAAUCGGAAUUACUGGGCGUAAAGCGCGCGUAGGUGGUUUGUUAAGUUGGAUGUGAAAUCCCCGGGCUCAACCUGGGAACUGCAUUCAAAACUGACUGACUAGAGUAUGGUAGAGGGUGGUGGAAUUUCCUGUGUAGCGGUGAAAUGCGUAGAUAUAGGAAGGAACACCAGUGGCGAAGGCGACCACCUGGACUAAUACUGACACUGAGGUGCGAAAGCGUG
rnacentral:rRNA from 1 species